UUCGAAGUCGCAGCCGUCGAGCAAGAUGGUUUCUUUCGGGGGACGGUUGGACCAGUUAGGGUUGGGGUCGUUGAGGGAGGAGGUGGUGGCGCGUGUGGAGAGGGCGCGGAGGGAGGGGGCGUUUGGGAGGAGGACGCGGCGGAGGGAGGGGUUGGCUGCAACGGAGAUACGGCGGAGGAAGGAGAGCGCGGGGAGGGAAGGACGAGAGGGGGCGGUGGUGAGGGAGCGGAAGAGGAAGGGGGCUAGGGUUAGGGUUUUGGGGAAGAUGCG
rnacentral:lncRNA from 1 species